GUGUCAGCCGCCGCGGUAAGACGAACCGUGCGAACGUUAUUCGGAAUAACUGGGCUUAAAGGGAGCGUAGGCGGGCUAUCAAGUCUGGGGUGAAAUCCCACGGCUCAACCGUGGAACUGCCUUAGAUACUGACGGCCUCGAGGGAGAUAGGGGCAUGCGGAACUGUAGGUGGAGCGGUGAAAUGCGUUGAUAUCUACAGGAACUCCGGUGGCGAAAGCGGCGUGCUGGAUCUCUUCUGACGCUGAGGCUCGAAAGCUAGGGGAGCAAACGGGAUUAGAAACCCUGGUAGUCC
rnacentral:rRNA from 1 species